rnacentral:rRNA from 1 species
GUAGGGUGCGAGCGUUGUCCGGAAUUAUUGGGCGUAAAGGGCUCGUAGGCGGUCUGUCGCGUCUGCUGUGAAAACCCGAGGCUCAACCUCGGGCCUGCAGUGGGUACGGGCAGACUAGAGUGCGGUAGGGGAGAAUGGAAUUCCUGGUGUAGCGGUGGAAUGCGCAGAUAUCAGGAGGAACACCGAUGGCGAAGGCAGUUCUCUGGGCCGUAACUGACGCUGAGGAGCGAAAGCGUGGGGAGCGAACAGGAUUAGAUACCCUGGUAGUCCACGCCGUAAACGUUGGGCGCUAGAUGUGGGGAUCAUUCCACGGUUUCCGUGUCGCAGCUAACGCAUUAAGCGCCCCCGCCUGGGAGUACGGCCGCAAGGCUA